UCACACACACACACACACACACACACACACACACACACACACACACACACACACACACACACACACACACACACACACACACACACACACACACACACACACACACACACACAACAUCUACACAAAAUUAUACACAAAAGGUUGUACAACUUUUUCCAUACAACACUAUACAGCAACAAGCACACCAUUAACCACACAAUAUUUACACAACAUUAAACACACAACAUGUACACAACAUUAAACACACAACAUGUAAACAAAGUUAUCCACACAACAUGUACACAACAUUUUCCUAACAACGUUUACACGACAUUUUCCUAACAAUGUUUGCACAACAUUCACCACAUCUGCUCAUUUCCUGACUACUGUCUAACGUUAGAGAGAGAGCAUCAGCAGGUGAUGGCCACCAUCUAAUGUUAGACAGGAAUCAGCAGGUGAUGGCCACCAUCUAAUGUUAGAGACAGGAAUCAGCAGGUGAUGGCCACCAUCUAAUGUCAGAGACAGGAAUCAGCAGGUGAUGGCCACCAUCUAAUGUUAGACAGGAAUCAGCAGGUGAUGGCCACCAUCUAAUGUCAGAGACAGGAAUCAGCAGGUGAUGGCCACCAUCUAAUGUCAGAGACAGGAAUCAGCAGGUGAUGGCCACCAUCUAAUGUCAGAGACAGGAAUCAGCGGGUGAUGGCCACCAUCUAAUAUUAGACAGGAAUCAGCAGGUGAUGGCCACCAUCUAAUGUCAGAGACAGGAAUCAGCAGGUGAUGGCCACCAUCUAAUGUCAGAGACAGGAAUCAACAGGUGAUGGCCACCAUCUAAUGUUAGAGACAUGAAUCAGCAGGUGAUGGCCACCAUCUAAUGUUAGACAGGAAUCAGCAGGUGAUGGCCACCAUCUAAUGUUAGAGACAUGAAUCAGCAGGUGAUGGCCACCAUCUAAUGUUAGAGACAGGAAUCAGCAGGUGAUGGCCACCAUCUAAUGUCAGAGACAGGAAUCAGCAGGUGAUGGCCACCAUCUAAUGUUAGAGACAGAAAUCUGCAGGUGAUGGCCACCAUCUAAUGUUAGACAGGAAUCAGCAGGUGAUGGCCACCAUCUAAUGUUAGAGACAGGAAUCAGCAGGUGAUGGCCACCAUCUAAUGUGAGAGACAGGAAUCAGCAGGUGAUGGCCACCAUCUACUGUCAGAGACAGGAAUCAGCAGGUGAUGGCCACCAUCUAAUGUGAGAGACAGGAAUCAGCAGGUGAUGGCCACCAUCUAAUGUUAGAGACAGGAAUCAGCAGGUGAUGGCCACCAUCUAAUGUUAGACAGGAAUCAGCAGGUGAUGGCCACCAUCUAAUGUUAGAGACAGGAAACAGCAGGUGAUGGCCACCAUCUAAUGUCAGAGACAGGAAUUAGCAGGUGAUGGCCACCAUCUAAUGUCAGCGACAGGAGUCAGCAGAUGAUGGCCACCAUCUAAUGUUAGAGACAGGAAUCUGCAGGUGAUGGCCACCAUCUAAUGUUAGACAGGAAUCAGCAGGUGAUGGCCACCAUCUAAUGUCAGAGACAGGAAUCAGCAGGUGAUGGCCACCAUCUAAUGUCAGAGACAGGAAUCAGCAGGUGAUGGCCACCAUCUAAUGUUAGACUGGAAUCAGCAGGUGAUGGCCACCAUCUAAUGUUAGAGACAGAAAUCAGCAGGUGAUGGCCACCAUCUAAUGUUAGAGACAGAAAUCAGCACGUGAUGGCCACCAUCUAAUGUUAGAGACAGGAAUCGGCAGGUGAUGGCCACCAUAUAAUGUCAGAGACAGGAAUCAGCAGGUGAUGGCCACCAUCUAAUGUCAGAGACAGGAAUCAGCAGGUGAUGGCCACCAUCUAAUGUUAGAGACAGGAAUCAGCAGGUGAUGGCCACCAUCUAAUGUUAGAGACAGGAAUCAGCAGGUGAUGGCCACCAUCUAAUGUUAGAGACAGGAAUCAGCAAGUGAUGGCCACCAUCUAAUGUUAGAGACAGGAAUCAUCAGGUGAUGGCCACCAUCUAAUGUUAGAGACAGGAAUCAGCAGGUGAUGGCCACCAUCUAAUGUUAGACAGAAAUCAUCAGGUGAUGGCCACCAUCUAAUGUUAGAGACAGGAAUCAGCAGGUGAUGGCCACCAUCUAAUGUUAGAGACAGGAAUCAGCAGGUGAUGGUUAAUGUUUAUGAAUGCUCACCAGGACCAGUCUCUUAGAGGGAAUUAUUAAGUUACACUGAGUGGAAGCUUCAUAUUGUUCUCUGUGUUUUACGCACCAUUAAAUGCAUUAUCUCUAAUUGUCUUUAAUUCAAUCUAAUAGGGCAUUCAUGCAUUAUUGCCUUCAUAUUAGUAGUGUACGCAGAGUGUUAUUAGUGAUUUAUUGUCAUUUCAUUUGUGAGUUAUACAUAUUUUCACUAAUGUGAAUUAAAGAGAUUUUCCUUUUGAAUAAGUAUUCAUUUUUAGUCAAUGAAUGAAGUAUUACUUUUUGUUAACAUAAAUAGUAGCUUAUGUGGGAGAUGAAUAUGUAAAUAAAUUGUAGUCAUUUAGAAAUAUGAAUUUGCAGAAUUAGACCUAGAAAAAUAGUUAGCGGUAUAAAAGCAGUGCAUUUGGGAGAGGAUAAAUGAACAUGAACUAAUUGACAUAUAUUUACCUGAGAGACAGGGAGAGAGGGAGAGAGAGAGAGGCAGGGAGAGAGAGAGGUUAAGCUAACAGAAGCAGCGAUAGCCCCCAUUAUUUUUCAUCCAGAGGGAAA